rnacentral:rRNA from 1 species
UACGUAGGUGGCAAGCGUUGUCCGGAUUUACUGGGCGUAAAGAGCGCGCAGGCGGUCGUUCAAGUCGCGUGUGAAAGCCCCCGGCUCAACUGGGGAGGGUCACGCGAUACUGAUCGACUCGAAGGCAGGAGAGGGUAGUGGAAUUCCCGGUGUAGUGGUGAAAUGCGUAGAGAUCGGGAGGAACACCAGUGGCGUAGGCGACUCGCUGGGCCAGUACCGACGCUGAGGUGCGAAAGCGUGGGGAGCGAACCGG